UAGGGAAUCUUCGGCAAUGGACGAAAGUCUGACCGAGCAACGCCGCGUGAGUGAAGAAGGUUUUCGGAUCGUAAAACUCUGUUGUUAGAGAAGAACAAGGACGUUAGUAACUGAACGUCCCCUGACGGUAUCUAACCAGAAAGCCACGGCUAACUACGUGCCAGCAGCCGCGGUAAUACGUAGGUGGCAAGCGUUGUCCGGAUUUAUUGGGCGUAAAGCGAGCGCAGGCGGUUUCUUAAGUCUGAUGUGAAAGCCCCCGGCUCAACCGGGGAGGGUCAUUGGAGACUGGGAGACUUGAGUGCAGAAGAGGAGAGUGGAAUUCCAUGUGUAGCAGUGAAAUGCGUAGAUAUAUGGAGGAACACCAGUGGCGAAGGCGGCUCUCUGGUCUGUAACUGACGCUGAGGCUCGAAAGCGUGGGGAGCAAACAGG
rnacentral:rRNA from 1 species